UACGGAGGGUGCAAGCGUUAUCCGGAAUCACUGGGUUUAAAGGGUGCGUAGGCGGUUUAAUAAGUCAGAAGUGAAAGCUUGCAGCUUAACUGUAAAAUUGCUUUUGAAACUGUUAAACUUGAAUUAGGUUGAGGUUGGCGGAAUGUGACAUGUAGCGGUGAAAUGCAUAGAUAUGUCAUGGAACACCGAUUGCGAAGGCA
rnacentral:rRNA from 1 species